UUUGGUAGCCAUAGAGGAGAGGGUACACCCGACCCCAUUCCGAACUCGGAAGUUAAGCUCUCCAUCGCCGAUGAUACUGCA
rnacentral:rRNA from 1 species